rnacentral:rRNA from 1 species
UUACGGCCAUAUCAUGUUGAAACAAGUUUUCAUAUGAUCACUGAAGUUAAGCAACAUUGAGCCUGGUCAGUACUUAGAUUGGUGACUGCUUGGGAAUACCAGGUGCCA